rnacentral:lncRNA from 1 species
GUGACUAUGUAUGUUAUGCCAGACUGAAGCUGUAUAUACAGAGGUCUCUGAGUCUGGGACUGGCAGUUGCUCCAUGGACCAUCUCGGCUUGUUACUUUGUAAUUAAGUCUGUAAUGAACUCACAAGCUCCGGUAUCUGAGAUAUUAUUGAACCAAUAUUUAUUCGACACAACGCGUCCAUGCACUAUGAUGUAUACAGAAAUGGUUUAAUUCUGAAAUACUACAAGGCAGUAGGCGACACUGAUGAGACAAGGAGAAUGCAGACCUAUACCUGGACCCAAAGUGGACUGGAUCGAUCCGUCGCUGGACAAUCAUCAAGUCCCCAAGUUACCAGUGGUCAGAUGAGUGAGAUUCCUUGCAGCUAUUCUCGUCAAUAUGGGCCAGUCAGACCAGCUGUCCUGUAUAUAGAAGGUGGUCGAUGCCUACCACACAGCGGACAAGUAACCAGUGGAGGUUACUGGAGUGGACCGAACCUGAAUCAACAGGCUUCAAUGGUGUACAUAAACUCAUCUCAGCAUUCACCCACCAAAGAGCAAGUUCUAACGGGUACUAGUCCCCUUUUGACAUCACUCUGGACUAACAAUGCAGCGGCUGCUCAAUCAACUGGUGUUACAUCACAAAGUGGAAACCGUCACACCUUGCCCGGAAGGGUUAACAGUGCAGCUCAGCCCACUUUUCAGCAGGGACAGAGGUUUUUGGGUGUUAAAAAAAACAAUCCACAGAGGCUCGUAAAGGAUGGUCAGGGUCCAACCAUUCACUGCCCCCCUCAUAUUAAUGCACCACUGAAUACAAAUGUUAUGUAUCAUCUAAGCCCAGUGAGUGGCAGUCAGCAGCUUGUACUUGGCAGACAAGAGGGGGCCUCCAGUGGUACCUCUGCUUCUCUUGCAAUGGGUAGGAGCCCCAACCAUGUAAAUCAUAAAUUGACUGUAGUGAGUGGGCAGGAUUCAAGAAGGAUAGCAGUUCAAGCUCCUCAUCAGGGAAACCCACAAACACCAAACUCUUUGCAAAGUGGACAGGAGACAACAUAUAACCAACUGUUGUAUUUACUUCAAAAUCAGAACAAUGACAGCAGGGCUGAGAUGAACAGGGUGCACCAACAUGGAGCACCUGUCCACACUGGCUCAUCAAACCACAGUCAAAUGUAUCCCUCUCAACUUCUCACUGGCAGCAACAACCAGGUCAAUGUAUCAAAUGCUACAGUGGGGCAGUCAAUGCCAAUGCAUAACAUUAGCCAGAAUCCUCAGUACAAUGUUAUGUAUAACCCUCCUUUUAAUAAUUCUCCAAGACAUGUCCCCAUCUGCCCUAAAAGCUUUCCCAUCCCACCACAACAGAACAGACUCCCAUCUUAUUGUGCAAAUAAUAACAGUCAGGCAGGGCCCAUUGGAAAUAAUGCACACUAUGCCUCUCAUCCUAGGCUCCAUAUCCAAGGCACAUGCCCUACCCUACAUUACAAGCCAGACUGCACCAAUGUUCUGGUAGGCAACGCUGGACCAUCUUCAUCUGUGCCAAACUAUAGUAUACAGCCCUCAGUCCAGCACAACCGUGAGACCGCGCCUCCACCAUACCCAGUCCAGCACAAGCGUAAGUCCGCGCCUCCACCAUACCCAGGCCAGCACUCCCAUGGACCCGUGCUGAACAAGACGGAACAUGUGGUUGGGGCAGGAGCGCAUUUUCUGCAACACGUGCCUAACCAAGGUGCAGCCCCUACCCUACAUUACAAGCCAAAAAACACCUAUGUUCAGUUAUCCAACACUGGACCAUCUUCAUCUGUGCCAAACCAUGGUAUGCUGUCUUCAGGCCAGCAAAACUGUGAGUCUGUGACUCCGUCACACCCCAUAAGACAGGGCUAUUACAUAACAGUAACAGAGGACAAAAGUGGAAAUGGAUUUAGAACAGAAAAUUUUAUUUUCAUAGGAGAUAAACCUAAUGAAAGUGCUCUGGUCCUGCAAGGAUCAUCUGCAAGUAAUGCCCCCUCUGUUCUUACGACACAGAAGGCCGUUGCAGUUGUACAACCACUAUCGCAGUGUAUGCAGACAAACACACCUCUAAAUGUGGCUGAUAAAAUCUCCUUGACUACCCAAGGUAUGUCUUUCUUAACAGGUGUCAAAAAUGUGAGCAACCCUGGGGAAGAAUCUUGUGACCAAAGUCCAUCACAAGCCCAAACAACCCUUAUUCUAUCUGCUUCUUUGACAAAUGAAUCUGAACAAGAGGUCCCCAAGAUCAGACUAGAAUCAGGGGCUGAUAAAACAUUGACCAAGGGUUCAGAAACUUCUGAUGUUGAAAUGGCCAAGAUAUAUUCAUGUUUUAAGCCUCAACGGUCAUUAUCAAACGGGUUAUGUGCAGAGAAAUUUGAUUCUCAACCAUUACCUAAUGUGGAAUGUCAAGCCACUCAGAGAAAAGAGUUAGCUGACACAGAAAUGACCACUCAUGUGCAUGUUAACCAAUUGAGUGAGGAAACGAAUGAAAAAGUCGAUUCCGAUGAGGACAUUUUUGAAUUGUCCUCCAUUCCUGUAAUCAAAUGGACCCUUGGUAAAUUGAAGGAGUUGGUAGAUACUGUGCAAAGUCAAAAAUGCACUGCCACACCAGUUGAAAGCAAAAUACUAAGCCUCUAUUGGGACGGAGAUGGGCCAAAGCUUAUGGAUGCUGCAAGAUCUGGUAUGUUACAAAAUAUAAUGGAAGAGGUUAGAUCUGUGUGUGGCGACGAUGACGAUAUGUCAUCACAGUCUGUCAUAUUUUCACAAGCCAGGCGCAAAAACUGGGGUCAAGUUGAAGAGAAAUGUGCCAUUCUUAAACAUGAUUCUGUUCACCCCGAGUUCCCAGCGCAAGAGUCAUCGUGGUUGAACACAAAUAAGCAGCUUGAUGACAUAGACAAGGAGUUUGGAUUCCCAUGGUCACUAAGAUAUGACCAAAAGACUCUUCAUAGAGGAGAUGAACAAACAAAACUGAUUUGUACCGAAAAUGAAAAAUCUGCGGACUCUGCCAAUGACAUGCAGACUGAGGUGGCUCAGACGAAGAGACCAACACCCUCUGAUUCUGAUGCUAAAGAAAUUCAAGGGUCAGGUUUGGUACACGGUUCCACCCAGACCCUCUCACUGGUUAAGAGAGAGGCAGGUAUCAUUUUUAGUGACCCAUUUUCCUCCCUGGAGAUCAACGUGCUGACACCAGAAGAAGCUUUGAUGUUUUUCAGUGGGCAGCUACCACAAGAUAAAGUGAAUGAAGAAGACCUGUUGGAAUUGCCAAUGGAAAUGGACGCGGAGCUGAUUGAGUUGAAAGAUUACUCAGUGGAGGAUAAGUCAUCUGAGAGGGUAGAUGUGAAGUUGACUGAUUUAAAACUCGAAAACAAAGGGGAUGCCCAAUCAGAAGAUUACUGUUGCCUCUCUCGUUGGAUGGCAGUGUUCAGUGGGUCCACCAAUUCUUCGUCCUGCAAAUGCCAAUACGAGACUAAAUUGGGUUCAGCAAAGGCCACUGUGAAUGCGACGCCGUUGGUUGAGGUAACAUUGUCUGUUGAACCCAACACAACAAAAGCAGAACAAAGGGAAUGCCUGCAAUUGUCUAAAUCAAAUGGCACAGCAGAAGAAAAGAGGGAAGAGAAUCCUGUAAAAAAUUUGAAUCCUCAAUCUUGGAAAUCUACAGGCAUUCAAGAAUGCCAAACAAUUGUUUUGUCUGAUAGCAAAUCUGAGACUGCUCGCAUAUACACAAAUUGGGUGAAGAGCUUGCCUUUGUCAAAAGCCCCAGCACUGCAACUCCCCAUCAACCACACAAACAUUGUUGAAAUUGAAGAGGUCUUCUCCCGUUAUGAAGACUUUAUUAAAGUAGACACCCCAAUAUCGGAGAUAGUUUGGGACGAUGUACAGCCAAAGCAGAAACUACCAGGUCUGUUCCAGAAACGUAUAGAAUGUGUACAAGAACUUGGUGUCAUUUUGGAAGAAGGAAACCCUAGAGGUAGUGAAGUCGUUCCUACAGUUCCCAUUCCUACUUCUAAUCUGCAACCCCAACCAACAGACAAAAUCGGUUUCCUUACAUCACUUUCCUUGGCACAAAGAUGUCACAAACAUCUCUCUCCUAAAACAAAUUGUAGCUACAAGGUUAAACAAAAAGGGGUUGGACUCAAGAGAAGAUGUGUUGAAAGUCCGCAUUCAAAUUUGCCUGUCCCAAGAAAGCAAAGGAAAAUGAGGGAUGGAUUAGGUCCCUCCUUUCAACUCGUUCCUGAGGUCAACUUGACUGAUGAUGAUGUUUUUGAGCCCCCCAAUACAACUACUUCUAAAUCUUUGGAAGAAGAGAAACAUUCAAAAGGUAGCAAUCUCCAGAAGCCAACAGAACAUGGAAUUGGGAACAACAUUUGGAGGGUUGGCACAGUAAGUCUAGCCUUGUUUGGUUCCGCGCUCCAGAGGAAAAAUGGGGCUUUAACAACUGACCAACGCAAGGACCAUAAUACUUCUCGAGCAAGACCUUUUGCAGACAAUGCUCCAGCACCUCCUAUAACCCUCAGUGUGAAUGUCAACUCCUGGACCAGUCCUCCAGCGGAAAGCCCAAUCAAACAAUGGAUCUUAAACGAGUGGAAUAAUAGUUUUAUCCCGACAAAGACAAAGUCCAGGGGCAAAGUGUCAAAACUACAAAACAGAAGAGGCUUUGCUCCAAAGAUUAUUUGUGCUGAAAUGGCCAAAAAGACUGUUGCCCUCACCAACACAGAUAGAGGUGCAUUAUCCUCUGAAAGGCGAGCCAAACCAGAAAGAACUGUAAAGGCCAAGCAGACUUUGCGGCGUGUUGAAAGAGAAAGAAUCUUAAACGGCCUGAAACUCGGACCAAAGAAAUCUAGGAUUGAGGCAGUGCCAUCCAGUAUCCCUGAUCUAGUGGAACAAAGUAAAUAUGAGAUCGGAAACCCAGCUCCUUUGCCUCAUGAGCAGAACAGUCUUAUGUUUAGUGUGCUGCCGGAGUCGUUCAACUUCAAAGACGUCAUGGACCCUCCGACACAGACAGGUUCAAUGAAUGACAUGGCUGGUCCGGUUGCUGCGAAGGCUGAGAGUCCUCAGACGAUAGUCCAAAAAUCCCAAGAUUGGUUGUGACCGCUGCCCAGGAUGGUUCCACCAGUCCUGUAUGAAAACCAUCCCAUCAUUGGAGGAUUAUGUCUGCGCUGCCUGUCAGGACUAGUCCUCGUUUUGACACUUGCCUGCCUUGACUCUG